rnacentral:rRNA from 1 species
AGGACGAACGCUGGCGGCGUGCUUAACACAUGCAAGUCAAGGGGGCCCAGCAAUGGGCAACCGGCGAACGGGUGCGUAACACGUGAGCAACCUACCGAACUGUGGGGGAUAGCCGGCCUAACGGCCGAGUAAUACCGCAUACGCUCUCAGGGAGGCAUUUCUUUGAGAGGAAACCUACGGGACAGAUCGAGGGGCUCGCGGCCUAUCAGCUAGUUGGCGAGGUAACGGCUCACCAAGGCAACGACGGGUAGCUGGUCUGAGAGGAUGGCCAGCCACAUUGGGACUGAGAUACGGCCCAGACUCCGUACGGGAGGCAGCGAGUGGGGAAUCUUGCGCAAGUGGCCUAACGGCUGACGCAG